GCUGAUGGCAUUUAAGUUUCUUUGCUAUUCAGUUUGAGAUGUAUGUUUUCUUUGUGUUGCCAAAAUAUCACUAGUCAUACAGGCAAUCCACAAUUUACAAAUGAGAUAGGUUCUAUAGGUUUGUUCUUAAGCUAAAUUUGUAUGUUAGUUGGAACACAUUAUUAAAGUGAAACUCCAGCUAUAUAUAUGUGUGUGUAUGUAUAUACACACACACACACACACAUAUAGGCUUUGGAUAGCAUAGGAAUGGGUUGUUAUUAUUAUUUAUUUAUAUUCUGCUUUAUAUCCCCAAAGGGGACUCAAAGUGGCUAACAUGCCUGUGGCAUUUGUUUCACCUCUCUGUCUCUGUGAUCAUUGGAUUUAAUGUUUGUUUUGGAAACAAGGAUUGGUGGGAAUGCUUUAGUGGAGACACCUUUUCCCCAUGAUCACUCUUUCAGUGGUGAAUUUCCCUUCUGAGGGAUAGAGUUCUCUCACUUCCUAUUGUCUCACCCUCGUUCUUAACUAGGAGUCAUUUAGGAGUUAGAUGCUUCUAACUUGGGAACUGCCUCUAUAUAUGGCAGGAAAUAUAAAUGUUGAGGAGCAGAGCCCUGUAUUAGUCUAGCAUAGCAAAAACAAAUGCGGAGCUUAUUUCCGAAAGGUGAAUGGAAAUAACACUUCAGUGGAGACACCUUUUCCCCAUGAUAACUCUUCCAGGAUGUGGAGCUUAAUUCCAAAAGUUAUGUCAGCCAAGAAUAUGAGUGACCCAAUGGCUUUGAAGGAAAGAGAUCCUGCUGACAACUGGACUGCAGAUGAUAUUUCCAGUAGAAGUUCUGACCUUUUGAAAUCGAAGCAGGUGCCUUUUUGUGCUGAGAUGACUGUGGGACUGGUAGAUUCGGACUCUGUUUCCAACCAUGGCAGUUUGAGGAAAAGAAAAAACUCUCAUUCUGUAACAAAUGGGCUUGGGAAUGGUGUACAAAAUCCUGUAGAUCAGGACAAGGUUUUCAGGGCCAAUCAUACUAAAAGGCAAGGAGAAGAAGACAAAGAAGUGGCUUGCCAGUAUUCAGGAACCAACACCCAUUUGUUUCCCCUUUCUGGGACAAUAUUAAGCCCUAAGAAGCGGAAGCUGAUUCUACACAUUGAUUUGAAUAACACCGUCCUCGUCUCAGAUGCUGUCACCGGUCAGGAUCCCAGAGCUGCUUUAAACUGUUACCUGACUACUGUGACCUGGGGAAAAGUUGGCCCUUCAGGUAAAUGGCAGUGGCUCAGCGAGUCCCCUUCCCUGCUUUCCCCCUGCCCGGAUGCUGUAAGCUUUUACUCUCAGUAUGGCCGAAACACCAAAUUCACAGACACGAACAAAGGGCAGCGUUUUCGAGACCUUCAACAGCGCCACUUGAAGCUGCUGGAAUGGCAGGCCCGGCUCACGCGCUGCUCUCCAUCCAAGGUGA
rnacentral:lncRNA from 11 species